CAAGUCGAGCGAGAAAGGGGGGGCAACCCCCCGAGUAAAGCGGCUACAUAGGGUGAAUAACACGUGGCUAACCUACCCCCAAGACGGGGGAUAACUACGUCGAAUGGGUGGCUAAUACCUCUUGAAACCUCGUGGAUCUUCGGAUCCUGAUGCUAAUUAUCGCAACGGAUUGCCUGUGCUGUCACCAGGGGAUGGGCCCGCGUCCGAUUACCUAGUUGAUGAUGUAAUGGCUCACCAAAGAUCCGAUCGGUAGCUGGUGUGAGAGGAUGAUCAGACACACAGGAACUGAAACACGGUCCAGACUCGUAAGGGAGGCAGCAGUGCGGAAUAGUAUGCAAUGGGGGAAACCCAGACGCAGCAAAGCCGCGUGGGUGAAGAAGGCAUUCGGCUUGUAAAGCCCUUUCGGAUGGGAGGAACGCUACGCGGUGACAAGCAUCUGUGUGUGACGGUACAGUAUGAAGAAGCACAGGGUAAAUCUGUGCCAGCAGACGCGGUAAUAUGGAGGGUGCGAGCGUUUUUUUGAAUUUCUGGGGGUAAAGCGCGUGUAGGCGGCCUUGCAAAUCUGGCGUGAAAACCCUCGGGUUUACCGGGGAAAUGUGUGUGAAAAUGCUUGGAUUGAGUACGGGAGAGGGAGGCGGAAUUCCCAGUGUAGAGGUGAAAUUUGUAGAUAUAUGGAGGAACACCGGUGGGGAAAGAGGCAUCCUGGACAUAUACUGACGCUGAGACGCGAAAGAGUGGGGAGCAAACAGGAUUAGAUACCCUGGUAGUCCACGCGGUAAAAGAUGGGCACUAGGUGUGGGGGGUAUCCACACCUCUCGUGCCGAAGCUAAAGCAUUAAGUGCUCCGCCUGGGGAGUACGGCCGCAAGGUUAAAACUCAAAU
rnacentral:rRNA from 1 species